rnacentral:rRNA from 1 species
GGGCUGCAGUGGGGAAUCUUGCACAAUGGGGGAAACCCUGAUGCAGCGAUGCCGCGUGAGUGAAGAAGGCCCUUGGGUUGUAAAACUCUUUCGUCGGGGAAGAAAAUGACUGUACCCGAAUAAGAAGGUCCGGCUAACUUCGUGCCAGCAGCCGCGGUAAUACGAAGGGACCUAGCGUAGUUCGGAAUUACUGGGCUUAAAGAGUUCGUAGGUGGUUAAAAAAGUUGAUGGUGAAAUCCCAAGGCUCAACCUUGGAACUGCCAUCAAAACUUUUUAGCUAGAGUGUGAUAGAGGAAAGUGGAAUUUCUAGUGUAGAGGUGAAAUUCGUAGAUAUUAGAAAGAACAUCAAAAGCGAAGGCAACUUUCUGGAUCAUUACUGACACUGAGGAACGAAAGCAUGGGUAGCGAAGAGGAUUAGAUACCCCAGUAGUC